GAGGGGUUUUAGUUUUGGCUUAUUUCUUUUAUAGGUGAGUAUCGUUUGUCCCGUUUUUAAUAAUUUUUAUAUUUUCGGGAUCGUUGUAACUUGAUCUAGCUAAAUAGGGGACUAAUUUGCAAUAUGAUUUGAAGUAUAGAUUUUUGCCAUGUGAGAUUAUUGGCUGUUUUUGAGGUUUAAUGGAAGAAAAUGAAUCCUUGUUGUUGAUUAUACAACUUUUGUUAAAUGAUUUUUAGUGUCAAAUAGGGAUUAAAUUGAGAAAUAUGAAAAUUACGUGUUAACAUGUGAAAUUGUGAAAAUUAUAUGCUGUUGUAGGCUUAUAAUAUAUUCAGUUAGGCUUGAGUUGGAUGAAAUUGCAUGAAUUUUGUUUUAUGAGCCUAGGGACUAAAUUGUAAAGAAGUUGAAAUAUUCGGGGCAAAAAUAUAAUUUUUCCAUAAAGUGAAUUAUAGUUUGUUUUUGGUACCAUAAACAUUCGGCUAAGCUCAGUUGUGGUUAAAAAUGCUUAAUUUGCAUGUUUUGAGCUCAAGGACUAAAUUGAAUAAAAGUGAAAUUUUAGGGGUAAUUUUGUAAAAAGAUUAAAAGUAUAGGGGUAAAAUAGUAAUUUUUCCAUGACAUGAUAUUGGAUUGAAUUGAAUGAGAUGAGUAUUGAAAUAGUUAAAUGUGAUGUUUUAGAUCAAGAUUUGACUAGGGUUUCAGCAAUGAUUCUGAAAGGCUCAGGUGUGGUUCGGCAUCGAAAUCGUAUCAGGUUUGUACCCAAAACACAAAACACGAGGUAUAAGCAAAAGCUGAGAAAAGCCACUAUUGACGCCACAUAGCCGUGUAGUAGGCUGUGUGGUGGGCCGUGUAGUGGCUCGAGUGUGGCCGUGUGGGCCAUACGAGCAUAUGGGCCCUAUACUAGCAUAUGGGCCCCACACGAGCAUAUAGGCCCCACAUGAUCAUAUGGGCUCCACACGAGCAUAUGGGCCCCACACGAGCAUAUGGCUUCUACGCGGGCACGUAGACCCUACAAGGGUACUUAAGCCCCACACGAGCACGUGGGCCCCACAUAGGCAAGUGGGCCCUACAUGGGCAUGUGAGCCCAAUUAUCUGAAUUUUUUCCUAGGGUUGCACGGGCCGUCCUAAACGAUUGUAGGCCUGCAGUAAGAUUCUGUUUAUUGAUUAAUGCAUGUCUGCUACUGAAAUGGGCUAAGGCCCAAACUGUUACUGAUACUGAAAUGGGCUUAGGCCCAGACUGCAUUUGACUGAUUGUUGUGAUUGACUGAGCAGGUCUGAUUACUGAUCCGUAUGACUAUCUGUUAUCUGUUUAUAAAAUCAUGUUAAGCAUGAUUAUCUGUAUCAGCAUGUUAUGUUGCAUUGCAUGGGUUGAGAUUGUUAUUUUUGAGGAAGUGUAAUGUACUGAUAUGGUCCACGGGUCGCACAAGACGACUGUGGACCUAUUGAUGGCUUUAAGCCAUUCAUAUUACUGGUAGCUUUGCUGCAAUAUUAUUUAGUGCCACAACCGGUGCUAAUUUUGGUGUGUACGGAUGGAUGGGUCGAUUUUAUCCCCACAUGGUGUGUAAGGUUGGUACGGAGAUUGUGUGUAGAGGUUGGAUUGGUAGGACCUGCAUACUGUUUACUGUUGCUGCACUGUUUACUGUUACUGUAAUGGGCCAAAACCCGAGUAUAUGACUGCUUCUGUAUUAAGAUGGGCUAAAGCCCAAACUGAUUUUGCCACUGUACUGAAAUGUACUGUUCUAAGGUUGCAUGGGUCGCCCAAUAUGACUGUGAACCUACUGUAGGGUCGGUAAACACUACUUAGACCCUUAAAUGCGUGAACUGUAUGUAUGACGUAUGUACUGAACAUGAUGACUAUAUGAACUGCUACUGAAACUGAAAUGGGCUAAGGCCCGAAUUGCUACUGAAACUGAAAUGGGCUUAGGCCCAUACUGCUUUUGACUGUUUGUUGUGAUUGACUGAAUGCUUGUUUUCUGUAGGGAUUACACACUGAGUUUAUGUAAACUCACCCCUUUUUGUUUUAUCUGUAGAAGAAAUCCCCAUACUUAGACGGAUCGGUGUGGCGGAGCCUCUUGGUGACCACAUGUUCAAACUGAUUGUGAUUUUGCACUUAAUAAUUAAAUGCUGAUUAUUUUGGGUUUUAUAUUAUGUAAUGCGGUCUUUACGGACUGUUUUGUUUUGAUUCAGUUGUUUAGACUGCGACUUUAUGAUUACAUAAUUGAAAAAAAAAAACUCAGAUUUUAUCGAAA
rnacentral:lncRNA from 1 species